rnacentral:rRNA from 1 species
GGUUGCUCCUGCCAGUAGUCAUAUGUGUCUCAAAAAGAUUAAGCCAUGCAUGUCUCAGUAUAAGUUUUUCCAUGGAAAAACUGAGAAUGGCUCAUUAAAACAGUUAUAGUUUCGUUGGCGGUCAAUCGUUAUAUGGAUAACUGUGGUAAUUCUAGAGAUAAUACGUGCGAAAAACCCUGACUUCUCGGAAGGGUUGUAUUUAUUAGAUAAGAACCAACACCCUUCGCGGGUUUUUGGAUGAUUCAUGAUAAAACGGAGGGGAUUAUGGCUUGUGCCGACGAUAUCUCAUUCAAGUUUCUGACCUAUCAGCUUUCGACGGUAGGGUAUUGGCCUACCGUGGCAUUGACGGGUAACGGAGAAUUAGGGUUCGAUUCCGGAGAGGGAGCCUGAGAAACGGCAACCACGUAAAAGGAAGG